rnacentral:lncRNA from 1 species
GAGAUCAGCCCAGUCUCCAUGUGAUGAAGCAGAUCACAGAUCCUCCCCGGAUACACGUUUACCCCAAGAUGAGAGCAGGCUAAGAGCUGAGAGUGGAAAGAAUAUUGAUUGAACAUCUACUCAAGAACUGCAAAACAGAGAUUACCUGACCUAAAGAUGAAUCCAGGAUUCGGUGGUGCCUGUUCCAGGAACCUUUAGUGUGAAGGAUCCUCCAGAUACAAGGGAGCAAGCAAGUUGCACCCAACCUAAUAGUAAAUUGCAGGGACAUUUCCAUUCUAAGGAAGGAAUUUUUGUGUGUGUUGCAACUCAGCUUCUGCUCUGGCAUUUUGCUGUGCAUUUAUAUUGCCAAUCAUGUUGGAGAGUCCAUGUGGUGAUUUCUGAAAACGAGAUGUGAGAAAGAAGAGGAUAAUUUAAGUCUAGACCUACAGAUUGUGCUGAUAAAGUGAUGAAGAACUACAAUCUUCUUAGUCAUUUCAUUGUAUAAGUGCAAUAAAGGAUUUUGUGUCUUUCCUGGCAAACAACUUGUGACCACAGUGAUGGCUCCAGCAGAAUGGAAAAGACCCUUUACCUCACAUCUCAGAAGUAAAGAUGCUGAUUAUUUGACAUCGCCAUUGGAAUCUCAAAACAGUGUAAAGCAUUUGCUAAAAAGAGUCACUUUCUGAGAAAUGACUCAGAAUUCGACUUACGUACUAGCAGAACUUAUUGCCCAUAAAAGGAAAGGCCACACUUUUUGUGAAAACUUAAUAAUCCCUAGGAUGUAAAAUUAUACUGAGUUAAAUCCUAGUCCCAUUUUUAGUACAAGAAACUGGAAAAAAAUAAUCCACUCUCAAAUGGUAAGACAAAUUGAGAUAUUGCUGAAAAGCCUCUUGACCCUGAAAAGUUCUGAAUAAUAAACUGAUAAAAGCAGCAGCAGCAUCUAACUUGACACCAGUCAUGUCAUUUG